rnacentral:rRNA from 1 species
UACGAAGGGGGCUAGCGUUGCUCGGAAUCACUGGGCGUAAAGGCGCACGUAGGCGGAUUGUUAAGUCAGGGGUGAAAUCCUGGAGCUCAACUCCAGAACUGCCUUUGAUACUGGCGAUCUUGAGUCCGGGAGAGGUGAGUGGAACUGCGAGUGUAGAGGUGAAAUUCGUAGAUAUUCGCAAGAACACCAGUGGCGAAGGCGGCUCACUGGCCCGGUACUGACGCUGAGGUGCGAAAGCGUGGGGAGCAAAGCAGGG